rnacentral:rRNA from 1 species
AUGACCGGAGGAAUCGUGACCGUGGCGAGCGGGGUGAUGAACCCCCUCAUCGGCAAGCUCACCACACUCAUGGGCGACGAGUACAAGAAGUUCAAAGGGGUCAGGAAGCAGGCCUCAUUCCUCGAGAAGGAACUCAGCGCCAUGAACGCUGCCCUUCAGAAGCUCGAGCUCAUUGAUGAGAUUGAUCCAACCGUCAAGGAUUGGAGGGACCAUGUUAGGGAGAUGUCGUAUGACAUGGAGAAUUGUAUCGAUGACUUCAUGCGACAAUCUCGAGCCGACGAUGCCAAGGGGGGCUUCAUCAAGAAGACUGCUCGACGCAUCAAGAAGAUGCGAGAGCGUCUUCGGAUAGCCGACCGGAUGGAAGAGCUCAAGACUCUUGCCUUGGAGGCAAAUGCUCGGCGCCAAAGGUAUAAUAUUGAUGAUUGGAAGCCCACCACCAGCACCGUGCCUUUUGACCCACGAGUGCGAGCGGUGUACCAGGAGGCUGAUACUCUCGUGGGCAUUGAUGGCCCAAGGGAGGAGGUUGCCACUAUUUUGAUGGAUGCUCAAAAGAAACUCAAGGUGGUGUCGAUUGUGGGCUUCGGUGGUCUUGGUAAAACUACACUUGCCAAGCAGGUGUAUGACAAGAUUGGCUCGCUGUUCGACUGCAAAGCAUGCUUUUCAGUUUCGCAGAGGCCUGAUAUGACUGAGCUGCUCAACAAUUUCCAGUGGAAACUAGGGAUGAGGGAUCCCGAUACAUCUCGCACUCGCAAGGUUGACGACAUCAUUGAAGAGCUAAGGCAACAUCUGAAAGAGAAGAGGUACCUGAUUGUUGUCGAUGAUGUGUGGGAUCAACCAACAUGGAAUACUAUUAAGUGUGCUUUUCCAGAAGAUAUUAAUGGAAGUAGAGUGGUAGUUACAACACGAGUGGAAGAUGUGGCUGCAGCAGCCUGUCAGAAUGACGGCGAGGGCAUCUACAAAAUGAAACCUCUCAGUGAGCAAAACUCAAGAAUGUUAUUGCUGAAUAGAGUAUUUGGGUCCAAAAAUGAUUGUCUACCCCAACUGAAAGAAGUUAUGGCUGAGAUUUUGAACAAGUGUCAUGGAUUGCCACUUGCAGUUAUCACAAUAGCUAGCCUAUUAGCCAAUAAAGAAACGUCAAGGAAGGGUUGGGAGAGCAUAAGGGAUUCUUUGGGUACCCAGCUAGCCACAAAUCCCACCUUGGAAGAGAUGAAGAGUAUAUUAAACUUGAGCUACAUGCAUCUUCCUGCCCAUCUGUGGGCAUGCUUUUUGUACUUUGGUAUGUAUCCCGAGGACCGCGAAAUCGGGAGGGACGAUCUGGUUCGGCAAUGGAUAGCUGAAGGCCUUGUCAGUAAUUUGGAUGGGCAUGACCUAGAAGAUGUUGGGAGGAGUUAUUUCAAUGAGCUUAUUAACAGAAGUAUGAUUCAGCCUGGUAUGAUAUGCAAUGAAGAGGUGGUGUCAUGCAGAGUACAUGACAUGAUGCUUGAUUUGAUCCUAAGCAGGUGUGAUGAAGAUAACUUUGUAAGUGUGGGGUACAAUUAUAAUGACAUGGCAAGAUUGCAUUGCAAUAAAUACAAGGUUCGCCGGUUAUCUCUGAGUUCUGUGGCUAGUCGUGGAGCAACAUAUGCCCCAACUAUUGAUAUCUGCCUAUCACAAGUUCGAUCAUUUACACUUUUCUGGACCCGCCUGCCUUCUCUUUUGUUGUUCAAGUAUCUCCGGGUGUUGAGAAUAGAAGAAAAAACCAAGGACGGGGAGACACUUGACCUCACCGCUAUUAGCCAACUGUUUCAGCUGCGGUAUUUGUAUGUUCGGGGACAAGAUUUUGUACAGCUCCCUGCUAAACUUCAAGCGCUUGUUUACUUAGAGACACUGGCCAUAAUUGAUGCCGAUAUCAAGAGCAUCCCCUCAGAUAUAGUACAUUUGCCCCGCUUGUCCUUUCUUCAAAUUUGCAUGGAAGAAGUGUUGCCAGAAUGGAUUGGGGAUAUGACAUCAUUGCACACUCUGAUAUUAUCAAGGGUCGGGGUGAAUGUGAUGAAGGGUUUUAUUGGUCUCGGCAAGCUGACCAAUCUAAGGAAAGUGGAGUUCCAAGUGGAGUGUAUGAACAAGCUAGAACUUGAAGCUUUGGCCUGCUCCAUUGGAAAGCUAUGUAACCUGAAAUAUUUUACAUUAUACGGGCCAUGUACUGAAGUCAGUAACCAGAUGGACUCAUUAUCCAUUCGUUUCCAACAUAUGGAGGAAUUUCACGGGUCUGUAUGGCAAUUUCGGAGAGUUCCCAUAUGGAUGAGUGGUCUCCAUUGCCUUCGCAUCCUCCACUUGCGUGUGGAGGAGAUUUCAACUGAGGAGGUUCAUCUUCUUGGAAGGCUUCCGUCCCUCAUGAAACUUGAUUUGAGGCCAUCGCAUAUCCCCAAAGAAAGAGCUAUAUUGGGCACAGGACUAUUUCCGGUUCUGGAGUAUUUUUUAUUCGAAUCUAGGGAAGACGUUAUGUCAUACCUGGGGUUCGAGGCGGGGGCCAUGCCCAACAUACAAACCCUCACUCUCGGUGUCGCGAAGUGGUGCGGCAGAGUACCCAUUGGCAUGGAGCACUUGUUACGCCUCCAGAAGAUCAAACUGCUUCUGCUUAGCUCCGGUGAUUCCAUCAUAUCAUCCACGCUCAGGCAUGCCUUAUCAGUGCACCCAAACCACCCUUCUGUUGAAUAUUAA